rnacentral:rRNA from 1 species
AGAAGUAACAAUGUUGAUAUGAGUAAUGAGAAGCAUUUCUCCUUGCACGUGUGUAUAUCAGACCGAAUAAAUCACUGAUAUUUAGCAAUAUAAAUAUAUGUAUAUACUAAAAUUUUCAUUUAUUAAUUGUAGCCCCAACACAGGAUGGAAAAGAAGUAAAAGGAACUCGGC